rnacentral:other from 1 species
CGCGAUCUGCCCGGCGCGUCAGGGGAGACGACGCUCGACCCGGUAAGGACGAAUCGGGAUCCGUUCCUGGUGCAGCCGUAGUCGGAAGCCUCGGGCCCGACGGCCGACGAGGAACCACCGCUGCUCGACACGGAGCCCACCUGGCAUUGCCAGGGAUCGGCCUUCUCCCCAACGGCCAUGGCGGAUCGCUU